AACGAACGCUGGCGGCAGGCUUAACACAUGCAAGUCGAACGCCCCGCAAGGGGAGCGGCAGACGGGUGAGUAACGCGUGGGAAUCUACCCAUCCCUACGGAACAACUCCGGGAAACUGGGGCUAAUACCGUAUACGCCCUUAGGGGGAAAGAUUUAUCGGGGAUGGAUGAGCCCGCGUUGGAUUAGCUAGUUGGUGGGGUAAAGGCCUACCAAGGCGACGAUCCAUAGCUGGUCUGAGAGGAUGAUCAGCCACAUUGGGACUGAGACACGGCCCAAACUCCUACGGGAGGCAGCAGUGGGGAAUAUUGGACAAUGGGGGCAACCCUGAUCCAGCCAUGCCGCGUGAGUGAUGAAGGCCUUAGGGUUGUAAAGCUCUUUCACCGGGAAGAUAAUGACGGUACCCGGAGAAGAAGCCCCGGCUAACUUCGUGCCAGCAGCCGCCGUAACAC
rnacentral:rRNA from 1 species